CCAACCUCAUCCAUCUCUGAACUUCAGCGGAUAUAACAAGUCACAAACAAACCAAAUUUCAAGCAGCAGCCAAGAAGAAGCCUACCAAUAAUGGGCCAUAACACAGUUAUAGGGCUGAUCAGCUUUGGAAAGAAGCAGGAUCACCGUGGCUGCUGUUGAGAACAGAAUAUGCUAUGGGGGAGGCAGAGAGACUGGUUAGAAGACAAAGACCCAGCUGAGACAAGAUGGCAGCUUGGAAGCGGUGGUGAAAGUGGAGCUGCUUCAGAGGACUCAUCCAGCCUGCCUCACCUCCCCUAGCACGGAAAUGUCCACCCAUACCUAUAUUCCAUGAACCUGAGAAGCCCAACAUUCAGAACCAUGUCUCCCCAUAAAGACGAGGGCUUAAGAUAGCCCUGAGGGUAACAGAGGGGCGAGAAAUCUUUGGGGAGAAGCAGAAGGGUAUCUGGUUUUCUUCCAAAGCCCCCUGCCCCCUGCCCCCUGCUCCUUAGUCCUCAGUAGCCUUCCUCCCUUCCCUGGCCCUCCUCACCCUCUUGCUCAGCUGUUUUCUCUCUCAGUCAGGGGUUUGCGGUACCUCUUGUGGAUCCUCAUUCCCUUGAGGACAGGAGGCUGAGAGCUCACAUCCCGAGCUUCAGCUCUUUCCUGUAGCUACACUCCCAUCUCACCUUCACCCUGUUUUUGUGCCUCUACUUCCAAGGGGGGGAAUGAUCUCCAAGGGAGGAAGUUCCGAGCUAAGGAGGGAUGUCUGGAUUAAAAUUAUGUUGGGUGCCUGGCUGGAUCAAUUGGA